rnacentral:rRNA from 1 species
UACGUAGGGAGCAAGCGUUGUCCGGAAUCAUUGGGCGUAAAGCGCGCGUAGGUGGCUUCGUAAGUCCGUUGUGAAAGUCAAAGGCUCAACCUUUGAAAGCCGAUGGAUACUGCUGAGCUAGAGUACGGAAGAGGCGAGUGGAAUUCCUGGUGGUAGCGGUGAAAUGCGCAGAUAUCAGGAGGAAACACCGGGUGGCGGAAAGGCGGUUCUCUGGGCAUGUCCUGACGCUGAGGAGCGAAAGUGUGGGGAGCGAACAGG